rnacentral:rRNA from 1 species
AGCCUCUGGCUAUAGGAAAUUGUUAGUGGCAGACGGGUGAGUAAUGCGUAGGAAUCUACCUAGUAGUACGGAAUAGCCAUUAGAAAUGGUGGGUAAUACUGUAUAAUCCCCGAGGGGGAAAGAUUUAUCGCUAUUAGAUGAGCCUACGUUAGAUUAGCUAGUUGGUGAGGUAAUGGCUUACCAAGGCUAUGAUCUAUAGCUGGUCUGAGAGGACGAUCAGCCACACUGGAACUGAGAUACGGUCCAGACUCCUACGGGAGGCAGCAGUGGGGAAUAUUGGACAAUGGGCGAAAGCCUGAUCCAGCUAUGCCGCGUGAGUGAAGAAGGCCUUCGGGUUGUAAAACUCUUUCAAUAGGGAAGAUAA